GACGAACGCUGGCGGCGUGCUUAACACAUGCAAGUCGAACGGAAAGGCCCUGCUUUUGUGGGGUGCUCGAGUGGCGAACGGGUGUGUAACACGUGAGUAACCUGCGCUUGACUUUGGGAUAACUUCAGGAAACUGGCGCUAAUACCGGAUAGGAGCUCCUGCUGCAUGGUGGGGGUUGGACAGUUUCGGCGGAUGGGGAUGGACUCGCGGCUUAUCAGCUUGUUGGUGGGGUAGUGGCCUACCAAGGCUUUGACGGGUAGUCGGCCUGAGAGGGUGACCGGCCACAUGGGGACUGAGAGACGGCCCAGACUCCUACAGGAGACAGCAGUGGAGAAUAUUGCACAAUGGGCGGAAGCCUGAUGCAGCAACGCCGCGUGCGGGAUGACGGCCUUCGUGUUGUAAACCGCUGUCACCUGUGACGAAGCGUGAGUGACGUUAAUAGGUAAAGAAGCACCGGCUAACUACGUG
rnacentral:rRNA from 1 species